rnacentral:rRNA from 1 species
GAUGAACGCUGGCGGCGUGCCUAAUACAUGCAAGUCGAGCGAACAGACGAGGAGCUUGCUCCUCUGACGUUAUCGGCGGACGGGUGAGUAACACGUGGAUAACCUACCUAUAAGACUGGGAUAACUUCGGGAAACCGGAGCUAAUACCGGAUAAUAUAUUGAACCGCAUGGUUCAAUAGUGAAAGACGGUUUUGCUGUCACUUAUAGAUGGAUCCGCGCCGCAUUAGCUAGUUGGUAAGGUAACGGCUUACCAAGGCAACGAUGCGUAGCCGACCUGAGAGGGAGAUCGGCCACACGGGAAGUGAGACACGGUCCAGACUCCUACGGGAGGAAGCAGUAGGGAAUCUUCCGCAAUGGACGAAAGCUUGACGGAGCAACGCCGCGUGAGUGAUGAAGGUCUUCGGAUCGUAGAACUCUGUUAUUAGGGAAGAACAAAUGUGUAAGUAACUAGGCACGUCUUGACGGUACCUGAUCAGAAAGCCACGGCUAACUACGUG